GGCGGCGUGCCUAAUACAUGCAAGUCGAGCGAGCGGAACUAACAGAUUACUUCGUAAUGACGUUAGGAAAGCGAGCGGCGGAUGGGUGAGUAACACGUGGGGAACCUGCCCCAUAGUCUGGGGAUACCACUUGGAAACAGGUGCUAAUACCGGAUAAGAAAGCAGAUCGCAUGAUCAGCUUUUAAAAAAGGCGGCGUAAGCUGUCGCUAUGGGAUCGGCCCCGCGGUGCAUUAGCUAGUUGGUAAGGUAAAGGCUUACCAAGGCGAUGAUGCAUAGCCCGAGUUGAGAGACUGAUCGGGCCACAUUGGGGACUGAGACACGGGGCCCAAAACUCCUACGGGGGGAGGGGCAGCAGGUAGGGGGAGUCUUCCACAAUGGACGCAAGUCUGAUGGAGCAACGCCGCGUGAGUAGAAAAGGUUUUCGGAUCGUAAAGCUCUGUUGUUGGUGAAGAAGGAUAGAGGUAGUAACUGGCCUUUAUUUGACGGUAAUCAACCAGAAAGUCACGGCUAACUACGUGCCAGCAGCCGCGGUAAU
rnacentral:rRNA from 1 species